CCGGAUACCCCCACCGAGCCGCAUGGUUUGGUGAGGAAAUGGAUUCCGCUUCGGGAGGGUCUCGCGGCCUAUCAGCUAGUUGGUGGGGUAACGGCCCACCAAGGCAUCGACGGGUAGCUGGUCUGAGAGGACGAUCAGCCACACUGGGACUGAGACACGGCCCAGACUCCUACGGGAGGCAGCAGUGGGGAAUCUUGCGCAAUGGGCGAAAGCCUGACGCAGCAACGCCGCGUGGGGGAUGAAGGCUCUCGGGUUGUAAACCCCUUUCAGCAGGGACGAACUAAGACGGUACCUGCAGAAGAAGCUCCGGCUAACUACGUGCCAGCAGCCGCGGUAACACGUAGGGGGCAAGCGUUGUCCGGAUUUAUUGGGCGUAAAGAGCUCGUAGGUGGCUGAGUAAGUCGGAUGUUAAAUCCCCAGGCUCAACCUGGGACACCACCCGAUACUGCUCUGGCUAGAGUCCGGUAGGGGAGCGUGGAAUUCCUGGUGUAGCGGUGAAAUGCGCAGAUAUCAGGAGGAACACCAGCGGCGAAGGCGGCGCUCUGGGCCGGUACUGACACUGAGGAGCGAAAGCGUGGGUAGCAAACAGGAUUAGAUACCCUGGUAGUCCACGCCGUAAACGUUGGGCACUAGGUGUGGGGUCUAUUCAACGGACUCCGUGCCGUAGCUAACGCAUUAAGUGCCCCGCCUGGGGAGUACGGCCGCAAGGCUA
rnacentral:rRNA from 1 species